rnacentral:rRNA from 1 species
AGCUCAAAUUUGAAAUCUGGCGUGCUCAGUGCGUCCGAGUUGUAAUCUAUAGAGGCGUUUUCCGUGCCGGACUGUGUCUAAGUCCCUUGGAACAGGGUAUCAAAGAGGGUGAUAAUCCCGUACUUGACACAAUGACCGGUGCUCUGUGAUACGUCUUCUACGAGUCGAGUUGUUUGGGAAUGCAGCUCAAAAUGGGUGGUGAGUUCCAUCUAAAGCUAAAUAUUGGCGAGAGACCGAUAGCGAACAAGUACCGUGAGGGAAAGAUGAAAAGCACUUUGGAAAGAGAGUUAAACAGUACGUGAAAUUGUUGAAAGGGAAACGAUUGAAGUCAGUCGUGACUGAGAGGCUCAGCCGGUUCUGCCGGUGUAUUCCCCUCAGUCGGGUCAACAUCAGUUUUGUUCGGUGGAUAAGGGCAGCUGGAAGGUGGCACCUCCGGGUGUGUUAUAGCCAGCUGUCGCAUACAUCGAAUGAGACUGAGGAAUGCAGCUCGCCUUUAUGGCCGGGGUUCGCCCACGUCCGAGCUUAGGAUGUUGACAUAAUGGCUUUAAACGACCCGUC